rnacentral:rRNA from 1 species
UACGUAGGGGGCAAGCGUUGUCCGGAUUUAUUGGGCGUAAAGAGCUCGUAGGUGGUUCGGUAAGUCGGGUGUGAAAUCUCCAGGCUCAACCUGGAGGGGUCAUUCGAUACUGCCGUGACUAGAGUUCGGUAGGGGAGUGUGGAAUUCCUGGUGGAGCGGUGAAAUGCGCAGAUAUCAGGAGGAACACCCGUAGCGAAGGCGGCACUCUGGGCCGAUACUGACACUGAGGAGCGAAAGCGUGGGAGCGAACAGG